GACAGAGGGGGCAAGCGUUGCUCGGAAUUACUGGGCGUAAAGGGCGCGUAGGCGGGAUGGCAAGUCGGUCGUGAAAUCCCUCGGCUCAACCGAGGAACGUCGAUCGAUACUGCUGUUCUUGAGGAUUGCGGAGGAGACUGGAAUUCCCGGUGUAGCGGUGAAAUGUGUAGAGAUCGGGAGGAACACCGGUGGCGAAGGCGGGUCUCUGGGCAAUUCCUGACGCUGAGGCGCGAAAGCGUGGGGAGCAAACGGG
rnacentral:rRNA from 1 species